rnacentral:rRNA from 1 species
GUGCCAGCAGCCGCGGUAAGACAGAGGGUGCAAACGUUGUUCGGAAUUACUGGGCGUAAAGCGCGUGUAGGCUGCCCUGCAAGUCAGGUGUGAAAGCCCUGGGCUCAACCUAGGAAGUGCACUUGAAACUGCGGGGAUUGAGUGCUGGAGAGGGAAGCGGAAUUCUCGGUGUAGAGGUGAAAUUCGUAGAUAUCGAGAGGAACACCGGUGGCGAAGGCGGCUUCCUGGACAGUUACUGACGCUGAGACGCGAAAGCGUGGGGAGCAAACAGGAUUAGAUACCCUGGUAGUCC